UACGUAGGGUGCGAGCGUUGUCCGGAAUUAUUGGGCGUAAAGAGCUUGUAGGCGGUUUGUCGCGUCUGCUGUGAAAAUCCCGGGGCUCAACCCCCGGGCGUGCAGUGGAUACGGGCUGGCUAGAGGCAGGCAGGGGAGAACGGAAUUCCCGGUGUAGCGGUGAAAUGCGCAGAUAUCGGGAGGAACACCGGUGGCGAAAGCGGCGCUCUGGACCUCUACUGACGCUGAGGCGCGAAA
rnacentral:rRNA from 1 species